rnacentral:rRNA from 1 species
AUUGAACGCUGGCGGCAGGCUUAACACAUGCAAGUCGAGCGGGGUGAUGGUGCUUGCACUAUCACCUAGCGGCGGACGGGUGAGUAAUGCUUAGGAAUCUGCCUAUUAGUGGGGGACAACAUUUCGAAAGGAAUGCUAAUACCGCAUACGUCCUACGGGAGAAAGCAGGGGAUCUUCGGACCUUGCGCUAAUAGAUGAGCCUAAGUCGGAUUAGCUAGUUGGUGGGGUAAAGGCCUACCAAGGCGACGAUCUGUAGCGGGUCUGAGAGGAUGAUCCGCCACACUGGGACUGAGACACGGCCCAGACUCCUACGGGAGGCAGCAGUGGGGAAUAUUGGACAAUGGGCGCAAGCCUGAUCCAGCCAUGCCGCGUGUGUGAAGAAGGCCUUAUGGUUGUAAAGCACUUUAAGUGAGGAGGAGGCUACUUUAGAUAAUACCUAGAGAUAGUGGACGUUACUCGCAGAAUAAGCACCGGCUAACUCUGUGCCAGCCGCCGCGGUAAAAC